AGUCUCUCUUGGGUCUUCAAGGGAGAAGGUCUGUCUCCUGAGUGAAGGAGAGCCCCAGCCCCAGCCCCAGCCCCAGCCAGAAGGGCCCACAAGGUGCAAGCAGGUCAAAGGGGAAGUGGCUCAAAGGAGGAGAGGUGAACAAGGGGAGCGAAGGAGGGCAGGGAGGCUGCUGCCAGAGGGUCCCUGGGCCAGGACCCAGAGUAGAGGGUGGGCCUGGGUCCCCCCCCUUGUACUACACCUGGCUGUUAUGAGUGGCCAUAGUGGACUGCCCCUGAUAGAAGGGGUUAGACUUUGGGGAUGUAGUUGGACACUGUGGCUGGGGUGAAGAGAAGAGACUGCUGUUAACCCCCCUGCUCCCCCCCGGUGUGUGUGGACUUGGGGGCACUGCUGGAGGGCAGUGUCCUGAAGAGGAUGCCGCUGAGUGAGGAGCAAUGCGGGUCCAGAUGCCAGCAGGGCGAGAGACGGAUGGGACACCACAGGCAGAGGGUGCUCUGCAUGAACAGAGCUAAUUCCCAGAGUGAACAGCAGGAGGCGCUGCGGUGUGAGGAUUGCUGCACACACCAGAAUGCUGACCUGACAGAGGCUCCACUGCCAUUGACUAAUUAGUCAAUCUACUCCAUCUUCCCAGAGACCCGACUUGAAGGCUGAGAGGUGGGGUUGAAG